GCAGUGGAUCAUGCCAUUGCAACCACCUCUACCACCACUUGUGCCCGGUGAGGCUUAUCCGUUUCUCCCUCUAGCUUCUAGGUGGGUUCUCCAGGGUGGGAACUACCGAGGGACCGAUGCUCAUUAUAAUCUCCCCCUUGUCAGGGAUGUGUUAGAUAUACUGGUGGACGGACAGGUAAAUAUGUACCUACACUUACUUGUUAUAUAUUUAUGGGAUGGCUAGAGCAGCAGGUCCAUAUUUGGGAGCAGCGAGAGUACCGUAUUCCGCCACCACCUUCAUUUACCCAGGAGGCCACUAUUCAUCUGUAUACGUCAUGGUACCGCCGUCACACCCGACUGAUGAUCGGGAACCCCAUUCAUGUACCUGGCGAGCACUACAGAUCAUACGCCGGGAGACACGAGUCAUUGAGGCUAUUGGGCAUCACCUGGUCUACCGGUUGGGACAGGAGAUGCAACAACAUACCGAUAGUGCUGCACUCGUUAAGUAUGACCAGCGGGUGGCAGAUCUGGCUCGUCGGACCCUGUUUUAAGCGAGAGAUGGCGCGAGGUUGGAUCACGAGGCUCAGUAUGCGAUGCCAGAGGACUGCCAUCGGGGUAGGGCUGUCCCACGAGGCAGGGUAGGGCACGAGGGAGGGGUUCCCCACGGGGUCGCGGGGGAUGGAGAGGAUGUGGUCCCCAACAAUGGGGCGUUGAGGCACCUGUCGACCCACCUGUUGAGGGACAUGAUGAAGAUUUUGGAGAUGAGGAUCUUGGAGAUGAUCAGCCGGGUUAUAUACCUCAGGUAGAUGAGCUUUCCAGCAGCAUGCCGUCAUACAACCUUCAGCUAUCUCUGCCAGCAUCGCAGGUCAUCCCGUCAGGAGCAUUGUCGAUCAUGGGUACAUUCGACGGUAUGUAGACCAGUACUUUGCAUUCCCAUCUACUAUAGCUGAGGAUCGGCCGACCCGGGACGUGGAUGGCGGGCGCAGGUUGAGUUAUGCUUCAUCCCCGGCGGCUGAUGCGGAUCUACCACAGGCGCAGGCUUCGUCCCAGCCCAUCUUUGAGGCCACUAUAUGCUUUGAUGAGGACACCACGGAUGCAUAUACUCAGGAGGCCGACUAGACCACGGUUGCUGGCAGCCCGGCGGCCUAUUCUUCCGAUCCUGCCAGUUGUGGUGUCGAUGCUGCUGCACAUCCUCACAUAAAGAGGCGGCUUGAUGAUGAUGAUCCAGAUAGUGUACCCGAGCGAGAGGCGAUGCGACUCAGGCCAGCAGCAGCACUGAAGCACACAG